ensembl:lncRNA
GUCUACUGAUCAUUAGGACUGUUAUAGUCAUGUUGAUAUUCUGUGUUUCUGUCCUUCAGUGGUAUAGACUGUCUACUGAUCAUUAGGUCUGUUAUAGUCAUGUUGAUAUUCUGUGUGUCUGUCCUUCAGUGAUAUAGACUGUCUACUGAUCAUUAGGUCUGUUAUAGUCAUGUUGACAUUCUGUGUGUCUGUCCUUCAGUGGUAUAGACUGUCUACUGAUCAUUAGGUCUGUUAUAGUCAUGUUGAUAUUCUGUGUGUCUGUCCUUCAGUGGUAUAGACCGUCUACUGAUCAUAAGGUCUGUUAUAGUCAUGUUGAUAUUAUGUGUGUCUGUCCUUCAGUGGUAUAGACUGUCUACUGAUCAUUAGGUCUG